AAGACCAUAAUUAAGGCUGCUAACCUUAUAAUAAUGAUUUCAUUUGGUCUUU
rnacentral:tRNA from 1 species